CUACGGGAUGCAGCAGUAGGGAAUCUUAGACAAUGGGGGAAACCCUGAUCUAGCCAUGCCGCGUGAGUGAUGAAGGCCUUAGGGUUGUAAAGCUUUUUCGCUGGGGAAGAUAAUGACGGUACCCAGUAAAGAAACCCCGGCUAACUCCGUGCCAGCAGCCGCGGUAAUAGGGAGGGGGUUAGCGUUGUUCGGAAUUACUGGGCGUAAAGCGCGCGUAGGCGGGCUAUUAAGUCAGGGGUGAAAUCCCGGGGCUCAACCCCGGAACUGCCUUUGAUACUGGUAGUCUUGAGUUCGAGAGAGGUGAGUGGAAUUCCGAGUGUAGAGGUGAAAUUCGUAGAUAUUCGGAGGAACAUCAGUGGCGAAGGCGACUCACUGGCUCGAUACUGACGCUGAGGUGCGAAAGUGUGGGGAGCAAACAGGAUUAGAUACCCGGGUAGUC
rnacentral:rRNA from 1 species